rnacentral:rRNA from 1 species
UGGUGGAGCGAUUUGUCUGGUUAAUUCCGAUAACGAACGAGACUCUAGCCUACUAAAUAGACCGCCGGGUACACGUCCCCGGCGGGACUUCUUAGAGGGACUGGCGGCUAAUAAGCCGCACGAGAAAGAGCAAUAACA